rfam:Gossypium hirsutum cultivar TM-1 chromosome 1, whole genome shotgun sequence
AUGCCGUGAUGAUGGCACUUUCGUAAUAACUUCUUGAACUGCUCCCAUGCCUCAUGUAAAGAAUCUUCAUCAAGUUGCUAAAAUAAAGUUAUUUCAUUUUAAAUCUU